rnacentral:rRNA from 1 species
GACGUAGGUGGCGAACGUUAUCCGGAAUUACUGGGCGUAAAGCGUGCGCAGGCGGUUUUGUAAGUCUGUCGUGAAAUCCCCGGGCUCAACCUGGGAAUGGCGAUGGAGACUGCAAGGCUAGAGUUUGGCAGAGGGGGGUAGAAUUCCACGUGUAGCAGUGAAAUGCGUAGAUAUGUGGAGGAACACCGAUGGCGAAGGCAGCCCCCUGGGUCAAAACUGACGCUCAUGCACGAAAGCGUGGGGAGCAAACAGG